rnacentral:rRNA from 1 species
CAGUCGCCACGGUAAUACGAAGGGUGCAAGCGUUAAUCGGAAUUACUGGGCGUAAAGCGUGCGUAGGCGGUUUGUUAAGUCUGCUGUGAAAUCCCCGGGCUCAACCUGGGAAUGGCAGUGGAUACUGGCAAGCUAGAGUGUGUCAGAGGAUGGUGGAAUUCCCGGUGUAGCGGUGAAAUGCGUAGAGAUCGGGAGGAACAUCAGUGGCGAAGGCGGCCAUCUGGGACAACACUGACGCUGAGGCACGAAAGCGUGGGGAGCAAACAGGAUUAGAUACCCGUGUAGUCCCUGUCUUUUAUAC